rnacentral:lncRNA from 1 species
UGCAAAGUUUGAUGAGUCUCCUCCAUCAAGACCCGCACCUGAACCAGCGUCACCGCAAACCAGAUCUCACAACAGCAGACCAGCAUGGACACAAUCCAGUCCGAGUGAGCGAGAGAAUGUAAGUCCAUUUCUUUGCUGUAAAUCAAAUUAAUUCAUAAGCUCCAUGUUUUACACACAUAACAAAGUCAAUCAAAGUCAAACAGACAAGCUUGAUCCAAAAAUAAUUUAAUUUACUUUUUACAAAGAACCUGAUCUGAUUAGAUUAGAUUCAACUUUAUUGUCAUUGCACAUGUAAGGUACAAGGCAACGAAAUGCAGUUAGAAUCUAACCAGAAGUGCAAUAAGCAGUAAGUACAGGGUAUACAGUGUCUACAAUAUGUUACAAAUAUACAAUAAAUAUACAGAUAAGGCAGUACUAUGGACAUAAUUUACAGAUUUUAAAUACUAUCAGCAUGAUAUACAGAUAGGUGUACUAUGAACAUACUAUACAGAUGGAUUAUGUAAUAAGGUUUGAGAGGUUGGUGGUCUGCUGAGUGUGUGGUUUUGGUGGCCGUCUCCUUGCUGUCGCUGUUGAAGCGAGCAUAAAAGUCAUUUAGCUCGUUAAGGAAGGAGACGUCCGUGACCAUUGGAGUGGAGUUGCUUGGUUUGUAGUCACUGAUGGCCUGGAUGCCCUGCCACAUGCGUCGGGGGUCAGAGUUGGAAAAGUGUUCCUCUACCUUCAGCUUGUAGCAGUACUUGGCCUUUUUGAUGCCCCUUUUCAGGUUAGCCCUGGAUUUACUGUAGGCCUGCACGUCAUCUGACCUGAAGGCAGUGUUGCGGGCUUUCAGCAGAAUUCGCACCUCCUUGUUCAUCCAUAGGCUUCUGAUUAGUGUAUGUUGUGAGCUGUUCUUCUGAUGUAACACUGUCAAUGGUGGUGUUGAUGUAAGUCAGUACAGAGGAGGUGUAGAUGUCGAUGUCUGUGUGAGAGCCACAGGCAGCCUGAGAAGCAAACAUACUCCAGUCAGUGUGUUGAAACCUGUCCUGAAGUAAAGAGUCUGCUCCAGUUGGCCACACUUUGAUGGUCCUCACUGAUGGCUUCACACGGUUGAUGAGGGGUGAAUACUUGGGGGUGAGAAACAAAGAAAGGUGAUCAGACUGUCCGAGGUGGGGGGGGUGGAUGGCAGUGUAAGCUCCAUCAAUGUUUGUUCAAACAUGAUCCAAAGUUUUGUCUCCUCUGGUGUGGCAGGAAACAUGCUGGUGAAAUUUGGGGAGCACUGUCUUUAAUUUGCAGUGAUUAAAAUCACCCGCGACAAUAAAAGCAGCCUCCGGGUGAGCAGUC